UACGGGGGGGAGCAAGCGUUGUUCGGAUUUACUGGGCGUAAAGGGCGCGUAGGCGGUCGUGACAAGUCACUUGUGAAAUCUCCGGGCUUAACUCGGAAAGGUCAAGUGAUACUGUCGGACUAGAGUGCAGAAGGGGCAACUGGAAUUCUCGGUGUAGCGGUGAAAUGCGCAGAUAUCAGGAAGAACACCUAUGGCGAAGGCAGCUCUCUGGGACGGUACUGACGCUGAGACGCGAAAGCUAGGGGAGCAAACGGG
rnacentral:rRNA from 1 species